AUCCCCUCCUGCUCCUUUCCACUUUCCAGCACUCAGGAGUAAUCACAAUGUGAUUUCUAACACCAAAGAUCAGGGCUUCGGUCCUUGCAUUGUAUACAGAUGGAGUCAUACAUUGUAUGUUCUUUCACAGCGGACUGCCUUUGCCCUCCAUUGACGGUAAGUUUCAUCCAUGGUGUGGUGUGGUUGGUAGAAUUCUAAGACGGUCCCCAAGAUUCCUCAUCCUCUCUUGGACUCGCAUCCUCUCCCAGAUCUCUUGUUGAUCUAGCUGCUGAUGCAAAGGCAUUUUGCAGAUGUCACUGAGGCCCAAAUCAGUUGAUUUAAAAGACGAGAUUGUUCUCAGUGGGCCUGAUCACAUGAGCCCUUAACAAGGACGGGGCUCUUCCUGGAGAAAGAGGAAUGAAGCGUGAGCGGGACUGACACAAGGGAAAUUCCUCAUGGUUGGUUUUGAAGACCGAAGGGUCCACAUGGCAAAGGAUGCUGAUGGCCUCUAGGAGCUGGGAUUGGCCCCUGGCUGACAAGCAGCAAGGAAAUGGGGCCCACAGUCCUCCAGUUACAAAAAGGAGCCCCAAUUCUGCCAAUAACCUGAAUGAACUUGGAAGAGGUUCUUGAGCUCCAGCACCUGCACCUGAACUUCAGCCUGUGAAGCCUUCAGCAGAGAACCCAGCUGCCCUAGGCCCAGAUUUAAGACUUACAUCUCUGUAAGCCGGUCAGUGCAUCAGUUAAGAUCUUUGGACUAAAACAACAGGAAACAGAAAUGUAUUAUCCUACAUAUCAGAAUAACUAGAGCUCUUCUGCCGCCAGUAGCCUACUCUGCUGUGUUAACGCCCCAAGGACUGGAGUCCCCGUUCUCCAGUGUAUUGGCCACUUCCUGGCUUCCUUCCUACUUCGUUCAGACCCCAUGGUCAGUCACUUCGCUGACAUCCACGCAGUUACCCACAUUUUGCUCACACUUGGUCUGUGUCUGUGGGAUUAGGUUCAGUGGUAUAUAAUAGCAAACCCAGAAUAACAGUUCUUAAAAUCAUUAGAGCCUAUUUCUCUCUCACAUAAAAGGAAUCCAGAGGUGGUCAAGCCGGAGGUGGGAUGGUGGCUCUAAGUGGAUCAGGGACCCGUGCUCUUCCCUUGCUGUUGGCACAUUGUCUCAUAGUCCAAGAUGGCUGUUUGAGCGCCAGCCACAGUGUCUACAUUCCAGACAGCACAAGGGAGGAAGGAGGAGGAGGGGAGAACAAAAGGGAGAGCCCUGGCAGCCUAUCCUCCUACUCUGGAGCCUUCCUCUUAUAUCUUAUAGCCGCACCUAGUUGCUACGUACUUCCUGAUCCAAAUAAAAGGCAAUGGGGGAGGACGGUCCCACUACUGUACUUGCCUGGCCUGUCCACGGCCAGUGAUGACUUCACCACCCACUUCUGCUUCCAGGCUCUCCCCACUGCUGGAGAAAACAGCACAGUCGUCCUGACAGGCAGCGGUGUGGACUUGUGGCUUCCGGCCCCACUGAACCCCUACACUCUGGACAAGGCCAAGUCCCUCUCUUUUUCAUGCUUCAUGGCAAUUCUUUCAAGUAUUUGAUCACUCGCCUGAGACACUUCCCACCCCUAUUCCUGGCAGAAGGUCUUGUCUCCGGUUUUCCUUCUUAUCUGUCCCUCUCAUGCCUCUGAAGCUGCUGCAGCUCCAACCAGGGGAUGACUGCCACCCAGGCGACAGCAGACCUGCUCUUUCCCUGAGCCGCACAACAGCGUUCAGCACAGUGCUCAGCACACAUUCAGUGGAAACAAAUGAUGAGCACGAAGGCGCUGGUAACUGACGGCUCAAUCUAUGCACGCUUUCGAGAUGCUCUGUAACCAGAGCCCCCAGUGCCUCAUCCAUCGGAGGCCCCAGGCAGGCUGGCCGAGGCCAUCUCAGGGACAGGGCCACCCAGCACCCUUCAAUCCCUCCUCUCAGCCCCCGAUGGGCCUCGGAAUGGAGAGAGCUCCCCCUGCAGGAAGCUCAGCAUCGGGGUCCAUCACCCCCUACACCAGGAUGCUGAGGGCAGCCCCCAGGCUCAGUCCCCGCUGGCACGUGGGCACAGGGCACACCAUCCACCUCACAAAAGAGGGAAAGAACCUCGAGGGAGAAGGCCACGUUCAGGGGAUGGUGUCAUAGCCUUACAAAAAACCUGCCCCCUUUGCGUUCUGACUGCUGGUAAGGAGCAGUCCGGGUGCUGACGUCCCUGGGUUUAGGGACUGACUGAGGUCACCACCCCACUCUUCAGUAAGCAGAGAGGAAGCGAGAGGAGAGCUGGCAGUCAAAGCCCUCUGCUCCCCCCUCCCACCCAGAGCCUCGGAUUCCAGCUGUGCCUGGUGCCCAGGGGCAAGGUGCUGCCCUGAGGCUCACAUUGUUCUCAGGACCCCUGAGGUGCCCACUCUCCUCCACCUUCACUGGAACUAAUGAGCGCUUGGGUCAGGAAAUUGCUCAGUGGCUAAGGGUGCCUGCUCAGUGUGAAAAGUCUGACUUAGGGGUUGUUAUAAAAAGGAACGAAAAUAACAGAUGUGCCUCUCCAUCUGCCUUUGCGUUCCCUGUUUCAUUUAUCACACGCAGCUCGCAAUAGCUACUCAUUUUCACAUUUUCCCCAGUCACUUGCUCCCUCCAACGUGAAUGACUCAAAAUAACCACCGCCACAUGGGGUCAGCCUCAUCACUGUGCAGAGCGGGCAGAUGCUCCAGGAUGUGGACCACGCCCAGGAGAAGCCUCAGGUGACCUUCCCCCAUCACCAUACCCACGGCCUCUCCUCCCGCAGCCAGAGGCAGCACUGAGGAAGGAGGCCUGGGACUCAUCUCCCAUUGCAGAGGCUGGGAUGACUUUAGAAAGUUUCCUGAGGACAAGGUUGGCUAGGAGAGCAAGAGACAGCAGAACACAAACCACCUGGCAUGGAAGGAACACCUGACCAGAGAUAGGCCCUGGGUUCUCGUCCAAUAUAUGCUAUCAGCAUGCUGUGUGGCUAUGGGCAGGUUGCUUCCCCUCUCUGGGUCUCAGUCAGACUCACCAUAUAUAUAAUAAAGGUACAAGGGCCCUUCUGCACUGGGUCCAUCCCUGGAGCAUCUCCAACAUUCAGUCCAGCUUCCUAAAUCUCCUCUCCACCCCUUACCAAUUAGGCUUGCCAAUACCUUAGUUAGCUGCCCAUUUUACAUCUUGCCUGGUCUAGUGCAGUAGACUCUGGGCUGUUCUUCCAGUCUCCCUGUCAGCUCCUAUAGUCUGUUCUCAUGGCCACCAGACUUUUUCUCAAUGCUGAUCUCAUGUGCUGUUUAAAAUCCAUCAGUCACUCUCCAAUAAGCCUUCAAGACUUGGUUCAGUUGUCACCUCCCCUCACUUCACUCCUUCAUGCCCACCUGCAGGCCAAGCUCACUGCCUCCCCCUCUGUGUGAAGCUGCCAUACCUGAGCAGGCUGUGAGAGAGCUGAGGAUGGGAAGCUGUGUCUCCUUCAUUACUGCAUCACCAACAGGCAGACCUAGGGGAAGUUACGUUCAGUCAAUGCUUCCUGAACGUGAUGGCAAAUUUUAUGUGUUAACUUGGCCAGGCCA